CAGUCGCCGCGGGAAUACGUAGGGUGCGAGCGUUAAUCGGAAUUACUGGGCGUAAAGCGUGCGCAGGCGGUUGUGUAAGACAGGUGUGAAAUCCCCGGGCUUAACCUGGGAACUGCGCUUGUGACUGCACAGCUAGAGUAUGGCAGAGGGGGGUGGAAUUCCACGUGUAGCAGUGAAAUGCGUAGAGAUGUGGAGGCACACCGAUGGCGAAGGCAGCCCCCUGGGCCAGUACUGACGCUCAUGCACGAAAGCGUGGGGAGCAAACAGGAUUAGAUACCCGCGUAGUCCCUGUCUCUUAUAC
rnacentral:rRNA from 1 species